rnacentral:rRNA from 1 species
UAGAGUUUGAUCAUGGCUCAGAUUGAACGCUGGCGGCAGGCCUAACACAUGCAAGUCGAGCGGAAACGAGUUGUUUGAACCUUCGGGGGACGACAACGGCGUCGAGCGGCGGACGGGUGAGUAAUGCCUGGGAAAUUGCCCUGAUGUGGGGGAUAACCAUUGGAAACGAUGGCUAAUACCGCAUGAUAGCUUCGGCUCAAAGAGGGGGACCUUCGGGCCUCUCGCGUCAGGAUAUGCCCAGGUGGGAUUAGCUAGUUGGUGAGGUAAGGGCUCACCAAGGCGACGAUCCCUAGCUGGUCUGAGAGGAUGAUCAGCCACACUGGAACUGAGACACGGUCCAGACUCCUACGGGAGGCAGCAGUGGGGAAUAUUGCACAAUGGGCGCAAGCCUGAUGCAGCCAUGCCGCGUGUAUGAAGAAGGCCUUCGGGUUGUAAAGUACUUUCAGCAGUGAGGAAGAUGGUGUGCAUAAUACGCACAUCAUUUGACGUUAGCUGCAGAAGAAGCACCGGCUAACUCCGUGCCAGCAGCCACGGUAAUACGGAGGGUGCGAGCGUUAAUCGGAAUUACUGGGCGUAAAGCGCAUGCAGGUGGUUUGUUAAGUCAGAUGUGAAAGCCCGGGGCUCAACCUCGGAAUAGCAUUUGAAACUGGCGGACUAGAGUACUGUAGAGGGGGGUAGAAUUUCA